UAUUGCACAAUGGGGGGAACCCUGAUGCAGCGACGCCGCGUGGGUGAAGGAGCGUUUCGGCUCGUAAAGCCCUAUCGGCAGGGAAGAAGGAGGACGGUACCUGACUAAGAAGCACCGGCUAACUACGUGCCAGCAGCCGCGGUAAUACGUAGGGAGCGAGCGUUGUCCGGAUUUACUGGGUGUAAAGGGAGCGUAGGCGGCAUGGCAAGCCAGAAGUGAAAACCCGGGGCUUAACCCCGCGGAUUGCUUUUGGAACUGUCAGGCUGGAGUGCAGGAGGGGCAGGCGGAAUUCCUGGUGUAGCGGUGAAAUGCGUAGAUAUCAGGAGGAACACCGGUGGCGAAGGCGGCCUGCUGGACUGUAACUGACACUGAGGCUCGAAAGCGUGGGGAGCAAACAGG
rnacentral:rRNA from 1 species